rnacentral:rRNA from 1 species
AUUGAACGCUGGCGGCAGGCCUAACACAUGCAAGUCGAACGAGUGGCGGACGGGUGAGUAAUGGCUGGGAAACUGCCCGAUGGAGGGGGAUAACUACUGGAAACGGUCGCCAAUACCGCAUACCCUCAGUUGAGCCCAGAUGGGAGUAGCUGGUUGGUGGGGUAACGGCUCACAAGGGCGACGAUCCCUGGCUGGUCUGAGAGGAUGACGCGCCACACUGGAACUGGGACACGGUCCAGCCGCCUACGGGAGGCGGCAGUGGGAAAUCUUGGACAAGGGGGGAAGGCCUGAUGCGGCAAGGCCGCGGGUUGAGGGAGGGCCUUCGGGUUGUAAGGUACUUUCAGCGGGGAGGCGUUACCCGCAGAGGAAGGACCGGCUAACUCCGUGCCAGCAGCCGCGGUAAUUC